rnacentral:rRNA from 1 species
GACGAACGCUGGCGGCGUGCUUAACACAUGCAAGUCGAGCGGAGCGGCGAACGGGUGAGUAACGCGUGAGUAACUGCCCCCCUCUCUGGGAUAACAGUUGGAAACGGCUGCUAAUACCGGAUAGUGGGGGAUGACUCGCGGCCUAUCGGCUUGUUGGUGGGGUAGUGGCAUACCAAGGCGACGACGGGUAGCCGGCCUGAGAGGGCGACCGGCCACAUUGGGCUAAGAUACGGCCCAGACUCCUACGGGGGGCAGCAGGGGGGAAUAUGGCACAGUGGGGGAAACCCUGAUGCAGCGACGCCGCGUGCGGGAUGACGGCCUUCGGGUUGGAAACCGCUUUCAGCCAUGACGCGGUAGUGGCAGAAGAAGCACCGGCUAACUCCGUGCCAGCCGCCGCGGUAAUUC